UACAGAGGUGGCAAGCGUUGUUCGGAAUUACUGGGCGUAAAGGGCGCGUAGGCGGCCUACUAAGUCAGACGUGAAAUCCCCCGGCUUAACCUGGGAACUGCGUCUGAUACUGGAAGGCUUGAGGAUGGGAGAGGGAUGUAGAAUUCCAGGUGUAGCGGUGAAAUGCGUAGAUAUCGGGAGGAACACCGGUGGCGAAGGCGGCGACCUGGGUUGACAUUGACGCUGAGGCGCGAAAGCGUGGGGAGCAAACAGG
rnacentral:rRNA from 1 species